rnacentral:rRNA from 1 species
GACAGAGGUGCCGAGCGUUAGGCGGAAUCACUGGGCUUAAAGCGUGUGUAGGCGGGUCGUUAAGUGUCUUGUGAAAUCCCCCGGCUCAACCGGGGAAUGGCUGGGCAUACUGGCGAUCUUGAGCAGUCUAGGGGCAGAUGGAACAAGUGGUGGAGCGGUGAAAUGCGUAGAUAUCACUUGGAACGCCAAAGGUGAAACAAGUCUGCUGGGGACUGCUGACGCUGAGACACGAAAGCCAGGGGAGGCGAAACGGG